UCAGAUUGUUACCUGUGUGACUCUGGCAUCUCGUGUCCCCAUAUCUGCCCAACCAUCUCCACUAAGGACCGCCUAUCUCUGUCCUCUCCCACAUCCUUUGUCUAGAUCUCUGAGUCUCAGUCUCUGUAACUCCUGAGCUGUUGGCUGCUUGCCAACCCCUCUGGAUGGCCAGCACUGGUGGGCCCCGCCACUCAUGCUCCCCUCGGGUCCACCUGCCCUCCUGGGACAGCGCCUGAGUAGCUGCACAUGGUCUGGCAGGGUCUUGGGGGUCUGGCACCCAGGAGCAAAGCCCGUCUGCUGGAUCACAGUUUCAGUACCACUCAAGGGCCCAACAUCCCUCACCCUGGCAAGUGAGGCGCCCAGACACCAGGGGACCUCAAUUUUGGAAGCGAAAUUAAAAGAAGGCUGGAAGGAGAGGUUGGAGGGGCCUGGUAAGGUCCCAGCAGAGGCAAGGCCUGAGGAUGAAGGAAAGCAGCAGUGAGAAGACACCAAGAAGCCAGGCAAAGUGGUUCACACCUGUGAUUCCAGCAACUCGGGAGGCUGAGGCAGGAGGAUCACAAGUUUAAGGCCAGCCUUGGCAAUUUAGUGAGACCUUGUCUGAAAACAAAAACUAAAAAGUGCUGGGGUUAUAGCUCAGUGGUAGAGAACCCCUGGCUGCAUCCCCAGGAUCAAAAAACAAACCAACGAACAAAUGGAAGCCCAGGAAGCCUCUGGCCCCGACCACAGCCACCCCAGCCUGCUGCCUGCUUUCCUGAAGUCCGCUGGAAACAGCCCCAACCUCACCUGCCUCCUCAACGCGCCCCCAGAAGCGCCUCCCCCACCAGUUCUUCAUUCCCUCCAAGCGCACUCGGCAGCGUAUGCCUGCCCUGGGGGGAUGACCACGUUCUGUCCGGAGGCCCAGGCUGAGGACACCUCUUCUGUGUGCCAGGGCCCACACUGCUGAAGGCCCUCCUCUGUGUCGAACCUGGUUUUGGACAGUCUCUACUCUGGGGGACAAUCCUUGCUAGGACAGCUCCUUCUAGAUGGGGACCAGGGCUGCAUGUCUCUGCCCUAUGCCCUGACCUACCGUGGAGGAGCUGAGGACUCAGAAACUCAGAGCAAGGAGCACUCCCUCCUCCAGGAGCUCCCCUGAAGACUGCACGGAGGAGGGGGAUCCUGAAGGAAGCUACCUGGCAGAUAGAGGAAAGCCAGAGUGCUGUGGGGUCAGGGAGGACAAACAGGAACUGACGUUGGGACAGGACAGGAAGGACCCUGAGUGCACGCUUGCUCGUCUCCAGAAAUCACUGGGGAGCCAUGGAAGGUUGCUGAGCAGGGAGGUGAUGGGGUUAGAACCCUGGAUGGCCAGGUCCGCAUUCCUGCCUCCACCAAGCAUGGUGCUGGGCUCGGUCAACAGCCCCAGUCCAGGUCACACUGUGUACAGAGAAGCUGGGGCUGGAAUCCAGACCCAGACAUGACUCCUGGGUGGCUGGGGAGGGGAUGCCCAGCCAGCCCACCUGGCAGGGAGGCCUACGGAUGCGUCACUCUCUCCCCCAGCUGCCUGCUUGCCUCUGCCCGCUCCCAUGGAAACUCUGACACCCGCCCGCCCUCCGCCCUCCGCUAGCUGCACAGGCAGCCAGACGCCAAACCAGCAGCUCCUCGGCCCUCUCUCCACCUCGGCGGACCCUGCCACCAUCCCUGCUCUAAUGCCAUACCUGAGGUGCUCAGGAGGCCAUUUUCUGAGCCUGGUCUAGGGAUGAGGCUAGGCAGGGGGUCCUUACACUCGGUCUCCCCCCAGCCCCUCCCCAAACCUGCAGCCCGGGAAAGUGACCAAGGUGAACUCAACCGGCUGGAGGUGGGGAGAGGUAAUGGCACCCAUUGCCCAGGCUGAGGGAACGGAAUGGCAUGGGAUGCAGAGUGAGAAGUCCCUGCACAUUUUGAGGUGGUGGAGAGAUGAAAACAAUUUGGUCAGCAAGGGAACCAGCUCCCCAACACCAGCACUCGCUCCCCACACCGUGCGCUAACACCCUUCUGGGUAUUCUCCUGGAUCCUUUCAUUUAAUCCUCACAAUUACCCAGUGACA